AUCCAUUUGACGAGUCCCAAGUAGGACAAAACGAGCUUCUUGGAU
rfam:Schistosoma rodhaini strain Burundi genome assembly, scaffold: SROB_scaffold0005271